rnacentral:lncRNA from 1 species
CCCUGAGCCAGCCCGGGGUGGGGGCCGGAGAGCCCCGCCCGCCUGGGAGCACCUGUGCGGCUGUCCCGCCCGGGCCGGCAUAGUCCCAGACCUGCAGGAGCCGCCGCCCCAGAGGGCCCCGCGUCCGGCCUCGUGCGUCCUCACCCAGCGGCGGGGACCCCACCUCCUCCAAAUGCGCGCCCCUCCCAGGACCCCCACGGACCCCUCCGAGCCUGGGCAACUCUGCCGCUCCAGGGACCCUCGGCUGGCACCAGGGCCCCUUCAGGCGCCCUCCCCGGGCGAGGGGGGUCCCAGGACUUUGGGCACCCAGAUCCUUCAGAAAUCCGGGCACCUCAGUCGGAAGUGCUUGGAGAGCCGCAACAGUGACCCUUCCACAAGUGGCCGAGGUGGUGGCCCAGGCCUGUGACCCCAGCGUCUGGAAGGCUGAGGCUGGAGGAUCAAGCCCAACGUGGGCAAUUGGGAGACGUCGUGAGACCCUGUCUCAAAAUAACGGAAAUGUUUUAAGGGCUGGAGAUGUAGCUCGGUGUGAAGGCCCUGAACUCGAUCCACAGUACCAUUGAAGAAGGAAGGAGGGCUGGGGAUGUAGCUCAGUGGCACCCGCCUGCCUUGCCAGCGCCAGGUCCUGAUUUGAUCCCUGGUACCAGAGAAGAAGAAGGAAGGAAGAAGGGCAGUGCUGCUGCAAGGCUCAGUUGGUUCCCACACGGAAACAGACGUGCGCCCGGGGCACAGCAAGCGCCUCGCACGCGGGAGCUGGAAGCCGAGCCAGCCAGGCGGCCCUUCCUCUCCGGGGUCCUCGAGACAGUGGCCAGCAGCUCCCGGGGGCCUCCGUUCCCGGGACUCCCGCGUCGCUGUGACCCCUCUGGCCAGCUGCUCGCUCCUGUCGAGCUGUUUUCUGCUCUCCACGGCCUCUCGUGUCUCUGGGCACUGUGGGUGGUCAGGUCAGGAGUGAGCACCCGGCCUCUGGACCUCGGGGCCCUGCCGAUCCCAGGCCCGGAGCCCUUCCCUCCGCACUAAGCUUGCGGCGAUGCUGUCAUCGGCUGGUCACCACCCUCUCCAGAGCGGGGUCCUCUUCUCUGGAGCCCAUCUUUCUGCAAAGGGGAUGCAGGGCCUCCCACAGAGAAGGGCCCCAUCCUCCUGCACCAGCCGGGCAGCGUGUCCCGUGCUUGGGCUCCGGCCAGGCCUGGCGGAGGGGCCGCAUCCACUGUCCCCUCUCCAUGCCUCUCAGUCCACCUGGCGCUGUUCAGCCCCUGGCGUCUGGAGGAGGACUGGGCUAUCACUUCUGGUCAAGUCAGUAAGUUCCUCCACCUGUGCCAGCGGAGGGACCUGGCCAACCCCUGACAGGAGCCAGGCUGAGGAUGAGAUCAGCCCAGGACAGAUCAGCACUGGGGGUCUGGCUCCUGCUCUCCAGUUUCCCGCUCUCCAGUUUGCCGCUCCCAGGGUCCUGAGGAACUUGGGGCAGGUGGGUGUGGGGGGAACGCGGGUGCGGAUCUCCGCCGUGAGCUCCACUGAGGCCGGGGACGCAGUCUCCUUAGAGCUUCGGUUCUUAGUCACGAUUUCCCAGUCUCCUCUCUGCCUGUCUUUCACUCCUACCAACCUCGGCAACAGGGGUGGAAGGCAGGUGUGAGCCACAGGGGCUGAGGCAGGGACGUCCCUGAGGCCAGGCCCUGGGGGUCGAGGUCACAGCACGGGCUGCCAGGACACCGCAGGCUCCAGUGUCACAGGUGCACACCCACAGACAAGGCCACUGUGGGGUGAAGCGGGGAGGCUGGGCCUGGGGUGACAGUGUGGCCACAGGGACAAGGGAGGCGCCUCACAAAGGGGACCAGCGGGCCACAGGCUGAUGAGACAGUGCCGCCCAAGGUGACCCAGGGCCCCGGGCACCGUGUUCCCAGCAUGUGAGUCCAGCAGGAAAACCCAAGGCAACUGCAGAGAAGGGGUCCCCAGCCCCGGCCCCUGCAGAUCUGGUUUGCUCCUGACGGCUGGGAGCUCCCAGGUGGCCUCUGGAGGCCUCUCCCCCCACACACCCAGGCUGGCCAAGGAGGAGCUGCGUGGGGCUCUCCAGCCCCUGCAGAUCAAAGGCCCAGGUGCAGGGUCCCGGGGUUCAGAUCCAGGGCAAGCCGCCCGGGGUGGGGAUUCUCGGAACACUGCUUCAUUCGGUUCCCUCCUCCUCAUAGCUCGGCUGCCAGGGUGCUGAGCGAGAAUGUUGGCAGGGCUCUUCCUGGCUCCCACAGUUCAGAGGCGCUGGCCGUGGGAGCCAGGAAAGGACCCGGGUGCUAGGGUCUCAGUGCAGGCAGGCGGGACAAGGCCUCCGAGGGCAGCUGCUUCUCCUGGCCACCAGGCCCCAGGCUCCUGAGCAGGUCACGCACCUGCAGCCGCCUCGCCACUGCCUUCCCCAGCUUGGGCGGGGGUUAGUGGUAGGAGCGCAGGCUCCCAGGCAGCACGCGCUGCCACUUGUGUGGAACAGAGAUGUCGUGUAUGAGGAGAUUGUGUCAGAGAGCUCUGUGAUACACGUGGUCCCCAAACUGACUUCAACUGACUUGUUUGCUCAAGUGACAGAAAAUGAUUGUAUGUAUUUAUGGGGUUCACCGUGCUGUUCUGAUGUCUGUGUGGGUGGGAAAAAGAGUGAAUGGGCCCUGACACACCCCUCACUCACCUCCUUCUUCCUUUGCCUGUCGCAUACUUUUCACUUCUGGGCUUGGAAGCCCUGGAGCCAGGUCUGAAGCAGAGGGGGGCCCCCAGCCCUGGGUGCUGCGUGUCCUGCCUUUCAUCAGAUUCAGAACAAAGAACAGCACAGUGAUGUAAAGACGAAGAAACAGAAUUUUAAAAGUUGCUUCAAUCCUGUCCUAUAAGACUUGGAAUUUAUGCUGGGCAUGGUAGCACACACCUGUAAUCCCACCACUUGGGAGGCUGAGGCAGGAGAAUCACUGGGAGUUCAAGACCAGCCUGGACCACAUAGCAAGACCCUGACUAAAAAAAAAGAGGGAGAGAUUUGGAAUUUUUGUUUGGACUUAAAAUUUUUAAAUAGUGAAGGAGUUUAAGGUGUCAUUUUUUGGUUUAAUAAGUGAACAUUGUAGUUCCUAUUGGCAAUAUUUUACUAAAUUGUAGUAUCUUGAAAGUUGAAAUGUAUUCUUUUUCAACGCUUAUUGUUUUAGAACUAAAGAAAGAGCCAAAAAAUUUAGUAAUUGUUGAAAUACCUUUUGCAGGUAUUUUGGUUUUAUGGAAACUUUUAUUGGUUACUAGAUAAUUAUUGACAUAAAAAUUAACAAUCAGAUCCUAAUCGGAACACAGUGCUGUGAGGCAGCAUCCAGAGCCUCGUAAACAACCGUCCCUGAGUCCCGGCUGCACCCACUGCGGUGUUCGCGGGCCUGGCCUGGCACGCACUGCCCCG